ACAAUGAAGAGUUUGAUCCUGGCUCAGGAUGAACGCUAGCUACAGGCUUAACACAUGCAAGUCGAGGGGCAGCAUUUCAGUUUGCUUGCAAACUGGAGAUGGCGACCGGCGCACGGGUGAGUAACACGUAUCCAACCUGCCGAUAACUCGGGGAUAGCCUUUCGAAAGAAAGAUUAAUACCCGAUGGCAUAAUUAGACCGCAUGGUCUUAUUAUUAAAGAAUUUCGGUUAUCGAUGGGGAUGCGUUCCAUUAGGCAGUUGGUGAGGUAACGGCUCACCAAACCUUCGAUGGAUAGGGGUUCUGAGAGGAAGGUCCCCCACAUUGGAACUGAGACACGGUCCAAACUCCUACGGGAGGCAGCAGUGAGGAAUAUUGGUCAAUGGGCGCAGGCCUGAACCAGCCAAGUAGCGUGAAGGAUGACUGCCCUAUGGGUUGUAAACUUCUUUUAUAUGGGAAUAAAGUUUUCCACGUGUGGAAUUUUGUAUGUACCAUAUGAAUAAGGAUCGGCUAACUCCGUGCCAGCAGCCGCGGUAAUACGGAGGAUCCGAGCGUUAUCCGGAUUUAUUGGGUUUAAAGGGAGCGUAGGUGGACAGUUAAGUCAGUUGUGAAAGUUUGCGGCUCAACCGUAAAAUUGCAGUUGAUACUGGCUGUCUUGAGUACAGUAGAGGUGGGCGGAAUUCGUGGUGUAGCGGUGAAAUGCUUAGAUAUCACGAAGAACUCCGAUUGCGAAGGCAGCUCACUGGACUGCAACUGACACUGAUGCUCGAAAGUGUGGGUAUCAAACAGGAUUAGAUACCCUGGUAGUCCACACAGUAAACGAUGAAUACUCGCUGUUUGCGAUAUACAGUAAGCGGCCAAGCGAAAGCAUUAAGUAUUCCACCUGGGGAGUACGCCGGCAACGGUGAAACUCAAAGGAAUUGACGGGGGCCCGCACAAGCGGAGGAACAUGUGGUUUAAUUCGAUGAUACGCGAGGAACCUUACCCGGGCUUAAAUUGCAUUUGAAUAAUCUGGAAACAGGUUAGCCGCAAGGCAAAUGUGAAGGUGCUGCAUGGUUGUCGUCAGCUCGUGCCGUGAGGUGUCGGCUUAAGUGCCAUAACGAGCGCAACCCUUAUCUUUAGUUACUAACAGGUCAUGCUGAGGACUCUAGAGAGACUGCCGUCGUAAGAUGUGAGGAAGGUGGGGAUGACGUCAAAUCAGCACGGCCCUUACGUCCGGGGCUACACACGUGUUACAAUGGGGGGUACAGAAGGCAGCUACCUGGUGACAGGAUGCUAAUCCCAAAAGCCUCUCUCAGUUCGGAUCGAAGUCUGCAACCCGACUUCGUGAAGCUGGAUUCGCUAGUAAUCGCGCAUCAGCCAUGGCGCGGUGAAUACGUUCCCGGGCCUUGUACACACCGCCCGUCAAGCCAUGAAAGCCGGGGGUACCUGAAGUACGUAACCGCAAGGAGCGUCCUAGGGUAAAACUGGUAAUUGGGGCUAAGUCGUAACAAGGUAGCCGUACCGGAAGGUGCGGCUGGAACACCUCCUUU
rnacentral:rRNA from 1 species